AAUGGUUAGGAGGUAUAAUGACGCAGCUAGUGAGGUAAAACCGAGGUGCGUCAAUUGCUGGUUGAAAACUAUUUCCAACCCCCCUCGUUGGCCUGGGCUACGCUUUGGCCUUCGAGAAUUUUUGGAGGGUCAGCCUUUGGC
rnacentral:snRNA from 1 species